rnacentral:rRNA from 1 species
UACGUAGGGGGCAAGCGUUGUCCGGAAUCAUUGGGCGUAAAGCGCGUGUAGGCGGUUCGGUAAGUCCGCUGUGAAAGUCGGGGGGCUCAACCCUCGGAUGCCGGUGGAUACUGUCGGGCUUGAGUACGGAAGAGGCGAGUGGAAUUCCUGGUGUAGCGGUGAAAUGCGCAGAUAUCAGGAGGAACACCGGUGGCGAAGGCGGAUCUCUGGGCCUUACCUGACGCUGAGGCGCGAAAGCUAGGGGGAGCGAACAGGA